ACUCAAAUGAAUUGACGGGGACCCGCACAAGCGGUGGAACAUGUGGUUUAAUUCGAUGCUACGCGAAGAACCUCACCAGGACUUGACAUACAGGAAGUAGUGAACUGAAAGGGGAACCAUCCGUUAAGUCGGAAGCCUGUACAGGUGCUGCAUGGCUGUCGUCAGCUCGUGUCGUGAGAUGUUGGGUUAAGUCCCGCAACGAGCGCAACCAUUGCCCUAUGUUGCAAAUGCAUGUCCGAAAGGAUGUGCAUGCACUCUUAGGGGACUGCCUGGGAUAACCAGGAGGAAGGUGGAGAUGACGUCAAGUCAGUACGGCCCUUAUGUUCUGGGCUACACACGUGUUACAAUGGCAGAGACAAAGGGUUGCCAACCCGCGAGGGGGAGCUAAUCUCAAAAAAUCUGCCUCAGUUCGGAUAGUAGUCUGCAAUUCGACUACUUGAAGCCGGAAUCGCUAGUAAUGGAAGAUCAGCUCGCUUCCGUGAAUACGUUCCCGGGUCUUGUACACACCGCCCGU
rnacentral:rRNA from 1 species